GCGGGGCGCAGGUGCACGCAGGUUGGCCGCGGGCGCGCGGGGUCCGGCGGGAGUCCCGGGGUGGUCCCCGCGUGGGGCCGGGGGCGUCCGCGCGGGCGGGGCGAGGUCGGGGAGGGCAGCUGCCCGCCCUCCUCGGCACUGGGAGCUUUCGGCUGGUACUGCGGGAGGAGCUCCCGGGUGACCCGCGGGUUCUGAAACCGCCGCUCGGGAGCUCGGGGCCUGCGCGGCGUCUACGGGGCGAGCGAGGGAGAACUGACGCCUUUCGCUCGGAUCCUUCUCCCCUUCCGAGAACCAGAUUGAGGUGGAACUCACGUCACAUAAACCGGGUCGCAAGGCUCAGCUCAGCGGGGCCCCCCCACAGUGUUGCGGGACCAGCACCUUCUCGAGCUCCGGAACAGCUUCUACCCGCGCAGAGCCCGGCCCGUCGGCGGCCGCUCUCCGCGCCCCUCCCGGGCCCUGCAGCCCCCGCCCUGCUCCGCGGAGCAGCCUGUUCUGACCUCCGUUCCAUGGAGCCCUACGUGCUGUGGCUUCUGUGUUCCGGCGCCUUUCGCUUAGAAUCGCGUCUUAAAGGUUCGUCCGCGGUGGAGCGGGGAUCAGGCCCGUGUUCCUUUUCAGGAGUGAAUAAUAUUCCCUGGUAUGGAGACUGCGCUGAGAUAGGACCUGGGCCACCCCCUCUGAUUAUUUCCCGCCCACCCCUUCACUGGCGCCAGCCCCACGGAGACCUCGCAGGUGCCGUGAGAAAGUGGAGAUGAGCAGAGUCUGGACGCAUGCGCGGGGCCGGGAGGUGCCGGCCGCAGCCUGCGCCGUCUCCUAAUGCGGAAAUCUGCACCCAGGGCGGAACUCGCCGGUGUCUUCCGCGCGCGCACUGCACGUGUCGGCAUCCUUUCUAGUGCGCCUGCGCAGCCAGCACCGCCUGCACCUGCGCUGACGCUCGCUGACAGCAGUACCCUCCUGGGAAGCCACGCAGGACCCGUCUUCGGGAGCCCGAGAGCCUCCUUCCCGGGCGCCAGUCUUAAUAAACUUUGUAUGUGUGUGAUGGAGCCUCGCUCUUUUGCCCAGGCUCACUGCAAACUCCGCCUCUCGGGUUCAGGCAAUUCUCCCGCCUCAGCCUCCCUAGUAGCCGGGACUACAGGUGCCCGCCACCACAUCCUGCAAAUUUUUUUUUUUUUUUUUUUUGGUAGAGAUGGGGUUUCACCAUGUUGCCCAAGCUGGUCUCGAACUCCUGACCUCAGGUGAUCCGCCCGCGUUGGCCUCCCAAAGUGCUGGGAUUACAGGCAUGAGCACCACGCCGGCCUUAAUAGACGUUAUCUGGGAGAAGUUUGUCGGGCCUCUUGUCGGUUUCUGUUGCUUGGCAAGAAAGCACGAGGCCGGGCGCGGUGG
rnacentral:lncRNA from 10 species